CCCUAAGGCGAGGCCGAAAGGCGUAGUCGAUGGGAAACAGGUUAAUAUUCCUGUACUUGGUGUUACUGCGAAGGGGGGACGGAGAAGGCUAUGUUAGCCGGGCGACGGUUGUCCCGGUUUAAGCAUGUAGGCUGGUUAUCCAGGCAAAUCCGGAUAAUCAAGGCUGAGGUGUGAUGACGAAGCACUACGGUGCUGAAGUAACAAAUGCCCUGCUUCCAGGAAAAGCCUCUAAGCAUCAGGUAACAUCAAAUCGUACCCCAAACCGACACAGGUGGUCAGGUAGAGAAUACCAAGGCGCUUGAGAGAACUCGGGUG
rnacentral:rRNA from 1 species